CGAUGAUGAGUGUGUCAUGAGCCAUGACGUAUGAUUAAUCCAGUUCUGCACAUCUGAG
rnacentral:snoRNA from 10 species